rnacentral:rRNA from 1 species
AUUGAACGCUGGCGGCAUGCCUAACACAUGCAAGUCGAGCGGAUGAACGGAGCUUGCUCCUGUCUUCCGCGGCCGACGGGUGAGUAAUUCCUAGGAAUCUAACUGGUAGUUAGGGCUAACGUACGGUCACGGGCGCUAAUCCCGCAUCCGUCCUGAUGUUGAACGUGAGGGAUCUUCGGACCUCACGCUAUCAGCUGUGCCUGGGUCGGAUUAGCUAGUUGGUGUGGUAAAGGCUUACCAAGGCGACGAUCCGUAACUGGUCUGAGAGGCUGAUCAGUCACACUGGAACUGAGACACGGUCCAGACUCCUACGGGAGGCAGCAGUGGGGAAUAUUGCACAAUGGGCGAAAGCCUGACGCAGCCAUGCCGCGUGAGUGAAGAAGGUCUUCGGAUCGUAAAGCACUGUAAUUAGGGAGGAAGGACAGUGAAUGAAUAUCUGGCUGUCUUGACGGUACCAACACAGAAAGCACCGGCUAACUUCGUG